rnacentral:rRNA from 1 species
AACGAACGCUGGCGGCAGGCUUAACACAUGCAAGUCGAGCGCCCCGCAAGGGGAGCGGCAGACGGGUGAGUAACGCGUGGGAAUCCACCCAUCUCUACGGAAUAACGCAUGGAAACGUGUGCUAAUACCGUAUACGUCCUUCGGGAGAAAGAUUUAUCGGAGAUGGAUGAGCCCGCGUUGGAUUAGCUAGUUGGUGGGGUAAAGGCCUACCAAGGCGACGAUCCAUAGCUGGUCUGAGAGGAUGAUCAGCCACACUGGGACUGAGACACGGCCCAGAGUCCUACGGGAGGCAGCAGUGGGGAAUAUUGGACAAUGGGCGCAAGCCUGAUCCAGCCAUGCCGCGUGAGGGAUGAAGGCCCUAGGGUUGUAAAGCUCUUUCACCGGUGAAGAUAAUGACGGUAACCGGAGAAGAAGCCCCGGCUAACUUCGUGCCAGCCGCCGCCGUAAUAC